rnacentral:tRNA from 1 species
GGUUGUGGCUCAGUGGCAGAGCGUUUGCCUAGCAUGUGUGAGGCACUGGGUUUGAUCCUCAGAAUCA